CCUAUCGAGUGGAACACCAUCAAUCACAUGGUGGACUCGUUGGGUUCCAAGACAGAUAGGACAUCACGAACAGAUGCUAUGGCUGAGACUGCUGGCCUGGGCAGCGCUGUACUUUUUGCUUUUCCUGGAAGGGGAAGAAGAGACCAAUCCACUUUCUGUAUGGUCCUGUCUUUCAUUCGAGUUUAUAAUGUUAUCCCCAGCUGAAGUCUACACAACCUUUACCCAGACAUCAGAAACAGCUGUCUCAGGCAGAAGGCGCUUGACUCCAGGUGGGCGCUCAGCAGCAAGGGCAGCAAAGUGCUGGGCACACAGAAGGACAAUGUGAUGAAGCGCCAUCACGUGGCUGGUAGCCUGUGGUGAGUCACCGGACUUCUCGACUCCCACCUCACUAGGGUGGAAGGAACAGUAACCACAAGGCUCCGCAACUCGGGCUGCGCCCGCAUGAUUGGAAACAAUCUGUGAAAUGCCUUCGGCUCUCCAAAACAACAGAAAUGAUCAAAGAUGGAGGCAAGAAGACCAGAGAACCCUAAAUGUUUACUGUCUCCAGU
rnacentral:lncRNA from 1 species